CGAGCGAUCAUAAGGGAGCUGACUGCAAAUCUGCCGUCAUCGACUUCAAGGUUCGACUCGAACAAUAGUGAGAGAACGUUGCCGCAGGCAACGGCCCGAAGGGUGAGGAGCUUUAGCUCCGAAUAAUCCUUUCCGCUAUAGAA
rnacentral:sRNA from 3 species